GUCCACACCGUAAACGAUGAGCACUAGGUGUCGGGGUCGCAAGGCUUCGGUGCCGCAGUUAACGCAUUAAGUGCUCCGCCUGGGGAGUACGUACGCAAGUAUGAAACUCAAAGGAAUUGACGGGGACCCGCACAAGCAGCGGAGCAUGUGGUUUAAUUCGAAGCAAACGCGAAGAACCUUACCAGGACUUGACAUCCCGAUGACCGGUUCUUAACGAACCUUCUCUUCGGAGCAUCGGUGACAGGUGGUGCAUGGUUGUCGU
rnacentral:rRNA from 1 species